rnacentral:lncRNA from 1 species
CUCCAUCAGGGCAAGUCAAAGAGGCCUGAUUAUUCAUUCUCUUAUUCCUACUACUAACGGUUCUGAGAAGCUGAGCUUACUACCAAUUUGCCAAGAAAAGAGUCAGCUCACCAAGCACUGUGGCAAGCCACAUAACAUUCCCGCAGUGACAGCAUUGAGGUCUUUUGAAAAUGUUAUGAGAGUCAAUUUCUGCCAUAUACUUACUUCAUUCAAUUUAUUAAACAAAUUUUACCAUCUCUGAAAAGGGUAGAAAUGAAUUCCUUUUAUUUAGGAAAAAAAAAAAAGACAAAGAAAAAGUUUGCAAAUAUUUAUAUAGCAAUUAUCAGAGUUAAGUUAAAUUUACACUUUUUUGUACCUGAGUCAUCAGGUUACACAUGCAGCUAUUGAGUACUUGAAAUGUGGAAGGUGGAAGGAGAAGAAAUCAAAAGGCUCAUAGAAAUGGACAUGCUAGACUAUAUAUAUUAUUUAAGACUAGAACCCCACCAGAUGACUAUGCAUCAUGGGAGGGCCUGAAAGACUCUGCAUUAGAGGAACAGCAGCAUUAUUAUAAAGCUCAAUGGUGGCUCUCCUCUGCAGUCCUGAUGGUAUGGCAGAGGAUAGGAAAUGCUGUUAUGUAUCUGGGCUCCCUGGCAAAAUGGAAAUAAUAGGAUCUUGAAAUAAUAGGGGCUGGGUGGUGGUACUUUUCCACCAGAAGCAAGUUGAGUACAAUUGUCAUGAUGAGUGGCAAAGUCAGAUGACAGCCAAGGAGACAACAAAGAAUAUUCAUUACAGAAGAAGCACUAAACAAGAAGACAGAAUGACUCAGCCCAUUGAUGUCAUUCAGACUACAUUACCAGCCAUUUGUUAAUGGAACAAUGGAUACCUAAGUGAAGCAGUCAUGGUGGCAGGAAUUAUGGCCAUGAAUGGGCUCAAUUGUAUCUGAUAGACUCACCAAUCUGAUAAAGACAUGGACAACAGAGAACAACAUGGAACCCCUGAUACAUCAUCAUUCCUCAAGGAAACCAACCAGCCUCUAAAUGGCAAAUUGACUAUAUUGGACCCCUUCCACUUGGAGGGAACACCAAUUUAUCUCCACUGGAAUCAACACACAUAUUCCAAGUAUGACUUUACCUGUCCUCGUAAGUCAAU